UUUUUAUUUUUGCGGGGCGCUGGAUUCUUGUUUCUCCUUAUCGUCUCCCUCGCCCCGCGCAUCGUUUUCUUCCUCCACGCUUGAGGAUCUGGAGGCGCAGACGGUGUCCUCCCAUUCGGAACGCAACACAUCCUCUCCUACGGGAGGCAGCAGUGGGGAAUAUUGCACAAUGGGGGAAACCCUGAUGCAGCAACGCCGCGUGAGUGAUGACGGCCUUCGGAUUGUAAAACUCUGUCUUUGGGGACGAUAAUGACGUACCAAGAGAGACUAUU
rnacentral:rRNA from 1 species